rnacentral:sRNA from 1 species
ACUUCCGGCAGCUAGAGCAGCUACUGACUCUGUUUCAGCCAUCUUCGAUAAAGGCAAAAGGAACGACUGAAGCUGGUGACUGUUUUGGGUGCUGGCCUUCUCUGUGGAACUGCUCUGGCGGUCAUCGUGCCUGAAGGAGUACAUGCCCUUUAUGAAGAUAUUCUUGAGGGUUUUGAGAAUAAUAGGCAGUCAGAAGGUCUGCAUGCCAAAGGCAGAAGACAUUUGGGGAUUUUUUCAUCAUGAACUUUAAGUUGAAGGAGUUAAUGAUUGGCUGGAUUACAAUAUAAAAAGUGGAUGUCUUUACAGUAAAGAAAACACCACCAAGCGAGUGAAACACAUGAUGUGAUUGCAUCAGACAAAGCAGCAGAAAAAUCAGUUGUCCAUGAACAUGAGCACAGCCACGACCACACACAGCUGCAUGCCUAUAUUGGUGUUUCCCUCGUACUGGGCUUCGUUUUCAUGUUGCUGGUGGACCAGAUUGGUAACUCCCAUGUGCAUUCUACUGACGAUCCAGAAGCAGCAAGGUCCAGCAAUUCCAAAAUCACCACCACGCUGGGUCUGGUCGUCCAUGCUGCAGCCGAUGGUGUUGCUUUGGGAGCAGCAGCGUCUACUUCACAGACUAGUGUCCAGUUAAUUGUGUUUGUGGCAAUCAUGCUACAUAAGGCACCAGCUGCUUUUGGACUGGUUUCCUUCUUGAUGCAUGCUGGCUUAGAGCGGAAUCGAAUCAGAAAGCACUUGCUGGUCUUUGCACUGGCAGCACCAGUUAUGUCCAUGGUGACAUACUUAGGACUGAGUAAGAGCAGUAAAGAAGCCCUUUCAGAGGUGAACGCCACGGGAGUGGCCAUGCUUUUCUCUGCCGGGACAUUUCUUUAUGUUGCCACAGUACAUGUCCUCCCUGAGGUGGGCGGAAUAGGGCACAGCCACAAGCUCGAUGCCACGGGAGGGAGAGGCCUCAGCCGCCUGGAAGUGGCAGCCCUGGUUCUGGGUUGCCUCAUCCCUCUCAUCCUGUCAGUAGGACACCAGCAUUAAAUGUUCAAGGUCCAGCCUUGGUCCAGGGCCAUUUGCCAUCCAGUGAGAACAGCCGGCGCGUGACAGCUACUCACUUCCUCAGUCUCUUGUCUCGCCUUGCGCAUCUCCACAUGUAUUCCUAGAGUCCAGAGGGGAGGUGAGGUUAAAACCUGAGUAAUGGAAAAGCUUUUAGAGUAGAAACACAUUUACGUUGCAGUUAGUUAUAGACAUCCCAUUGUGUUAUCUUUUAAAAGG